rnacentral:rRNA from 1 species
UACACCUACGGGGGGCAGCAGUGGGGAAUAUUGCACAAUGGGGGAAACCCUGAUGCAGCGACGCCGCGUGAGUGAAGAAGUAAUUCGUUACGUAAAGCUCUAUCAGCAGGGAAGAAAAUGACGGUACCUGAGUAAGAAGCUCCGGCUAACUACGUGCCAGCAGCCGCGGUAAUACGUGGGGAGCAAGCGUUAUCCGGAUUUACUGGGUGUAAAGGGCGUGUAGGCGGGCAUGCAAGCCAGAAGUGAAAUCUGGGGGCUUAACCCCCAAACUGCUUUUGGAACUGCGUGUCUUGAGUGAUGGAGAG